GACAGAGGGUGCAAACGUUGUUCGGAAUUACUGGGCGUAAAGCGCGUGUAGGCGGUUUGGAAAGUCGGAUGUGAAAGCCCCGGGCUCAACCCGGGAAGUGCAUUCGAUACUCCCAAGCUAGAGUAUCGGAGAGGUUGGUGGAAUUCUCGGUGUAGAGGUGAAAUUCGUAGAUAUCGAGAGGAACACCGGCGGCGAAGGCGGCCAACUGGACGAAUACUGACGCUGAGACUCGAAAGCGUGGGGAGCAAACAGG
rnacentral:rRNA from 1 species